ensembl:misc_RNA Metazoa_SRP Metazoan signal recognition particle RNA
GCCUGGUGAUGUGGCAUGUGGCCUGUAGUCCCAGCUACUGGGGAGGCUGAGGCAGGAGGCUGGCUUGAGCCCAGGAGCUCUGAGUUGUAGGGCACUAUGCCAAUCUGGAGUCUCUCCACACUAAGUUUGGUAUUAAUAUGGUGAUAUUCCUGGAACAGGGCACCACCAAGUUGCCUAAGGAAAGGUGAACUGAACCAGGUUGGAAACAGGGCAGUUCAAAACUCCCUUGCAGUUCAGUAGUGGGAUCUCACCCGUGAAUAGCCACUGCAUUCUGCCCUGGGCAACACAGCAAGACCUUGUCUCUG